rnacentral:lncRNA from 1 species
CCCCACCACACCCCCCACCCCGGACCCUGGGUGGGUACUAAGCUCUGAACACAUUAGUCCUCCAGCACCUUCCUCUGAUAGCUUUUGGAACCAGGCUCUGCAGCUUGGCUGCUGAAUUGUCAGCAAGGACUCCGGUCCACGGAAGAUACCACCCACGUUCAGGACGAGUAUCCUUCCUCAGCUGUGGGAGGUGUUCGUCAUCGGUGCCCCGCCCACUCUACACACGAGGAUCUGAGGGUUCCAGACUCCCAAACACACGUGCUAACAUGACGAAGCUGCAGCCUGGGAAGCAGGCUUUCUUCCCAAGUCCACGGUGAACAAGAGGCAGACCUUCUCCGUCCUCGUCCACAUGCUACACAACUGCACACUGGAGGAGCCCAGUAAGCGCCAAAGGCAAGUCAGCUCUCAGAUGGAGAAACGGCCCUUGAACAGUUGGCAGUACACCAAGAAGAAGGUGUGUGGUUUGGAUAUUGAGUUGUCCUAUCUACAUCAUGUAGCUAGCUCUCAUUGAGCAGUGCCAACCAAGCACCCGGGAUCGAGUUUGAUGUUUAGUCCCCAGAAGACACCAGGAAAGAAAGUUGGUUACAAGGACCUUCUGUGUGCUUCCGCUGUGGCUGCUGUUACCCUGGUCUAAUGGAGGCCUGCCCCAAGAGCCUGGGAUCCAUCAAGUCGGUCAUCCUCUUCUCAUCCCUAAGCCCACCCUGGCAACCUUGCCUCAUUCCCACAUCCAAUCUGUUCCUUACCUGGUCCUUGUCCACCCUGGACUUGUAAGAUACAGCCAGACAAUAGAAAACAGAAUUCAGGCACACACAUGGGGACAAAAAAAAUUAUGAAAAUGAAACGUAAAUAAAUAUGGAUGCUGAGGACC